rnacentral:rRNA from 1 species
GUGAGGAAUAUUGGUCAAUGGGCGGAAGCCUGAACCAGCCAAGUCGCGUGAGGGAAGACGGUCCUAUGGAUUGUAAACCUCUUUUGUCAGGGAGCAAGGGGCAGGUCGUGACCUGCUGUGAGAGUACCUGAAGAAAAAGCAUCGGCUAACUCCGUGCCAGCAGCCGCGGUAAUACGGAGGAUGCGAGCGUUAUCCGGAUUUAUUGGGUUUAAAGGGUGCGUAGGCGGACUGGAAAGUCAGCGGUAAAAUUGAGAGGCUCAACCUCUUCCCGCCGUUGAAACUGUCGGUCUUGAGUGGGCGAGAAGUAUGCGGAAUGCGUGGUGUAGCGGUGAAAUGCAUAGAUAUCACGCAGAACUCCGAUUGCGAAGGCAGCAUACCGGCGCCCAACUGACGCUGAGGCACGAAAGCGUGGGUAUCAAACAGGA